AUGACACAAACCCCACAAGGCCACGCUCUAGGGUUGCGUCCACCAUGGGGGGUAGAACCAGCGGUGAGCGAGCAGCGUCGGGCUCCCAUUACUCUCCAUGCCGAACCUCUUCGUAUCGUUCGGUCCCUAUCCCCUCUAUGGCCCGGGCGGUGCCGAAGCUGGAGCGCAUGCUAUGCCGGCACACGGCCAACAUGGCUUGACGCGAUGGUGGCAGGGUGGUGUCCAGUGAGGUGGUUCUCUCGAGCCCCUCUGCGUCGGUGUGCCGCGGUGGGCUUGCCUCGGCGCCGAGGACCUCUGCUGCAUCAACCGGCUGACGUUCGGCUACAACCACGGUCUUCUCGGCCAGUGUGCCAAGGUGCUGCCCGGGCAGUCCCUCUUCAUCGAUCUUAA
rnacentral:rRNA from 1 species